AUUGAACGCUGGCGGCAUGCCUUACACAUGCAAGUCGAACGGAGAUUCAGCAAUGGAUCUUAGUGGCGAACGGGUGAGUAACGCGUAGGCAAUCUGCCUUCUAGAUGGGGACAACAUCCCGAAAGGGGUGCUAAUACCGAAUGUUGUAUGAUCUUCGCAUGGAGAUGAUACUAAAGGUGGCCUCUGAAUAUGCUACCGCUAGAAGAUGAGCCUGCGUCUGAUUAGCUAGUUGGAGGGGUAACGGCCCACCAAGGCUUCGAUCAGUAGCCGGUCUGAGAGGAGGAACGGCCACACUGGGACUGAGACACGGCCCAGACUCCUACGGGAGGCAGCAGUGGGGAAUCUUCCGCAAUGGACGAAAGUCUGACGGAGCAACGCCGCGUGAGUGAAGAAGGUUUUCGGAUCGUAAAGCUCUUUCGUUAGGGACGAACGUGCUCUUUGUGAAUAAUGAGGAGUAAUGACGGUACCUAAAUAAGAAGCCACGGCUAACUACGUGCCAGCAGCCGCAGUAA
rnacentral:rRNA from 1 species